rnacentral:tRNA from 1 species
GGGGUUGUAGCUCAGUGGUAGAGUGCUUGUCUUACAUAUGUGGUACACUGGGUUCGAUUCUCAGCACCA